CUCGGGGGUCAGGGGUCAGGGACCCACUUGAGGAGGCAGUCUGCCCGUUCUCAGAUCUGCAGCUGCGUGCUGGGAGAACCACUGCUCUCUUCAAAGCUGUCAGACAGGGACAUUUAAGUCUGCAGAGGUUACUGCUGUCUUUUUGUUUGUCUGUGCCCUGCCCCCAGAGGUGGAGCCUACAGAGGCAGGCAGGCCUCCUUGAGCUGUGGUGGGCUCCACCCAGUUCCAGCUUCCCGGCUGCUUUGUUUACCUAAUCAAGCCUGGGCAAUGGCGGGCUCCCCUCCCCCAGCCUCGCUGCUGCCUUGCAGUUUGAUCUCAGACUGCUGUGCUAGCAAUCAGCGAGACUCCGUGGGCGUAGGACCCUCCGAGCCAGGUGUGGGAUAUAGUCUCGUGGUGCGCCGUUUUUUAAGCCCGUCGGAAAAGCGCAGUAUUCGGGUGGGAGUGACCCGAUUUUCCAGAGAGAUGAACCCGGUACCUCAGAUGGAAAUGCAGAAAUCACCGUCUUCUGCGUCGCUCACGCUGGGAGCUGUAGACCAGAGCUGUUCCUAUUCGGCCAUCUUGGCUCCUUAUUCUCAUUACCUUCUUGAGUUGUGGCUCAGACACUACAACAGAGCUCUGUCACCUCUUUCUAAAAGCUGGGAAAUGGUUAUUGUCAACGCCAGCCCCAUUUUGGAGGCACCUGGUUGCAGGGGACCACAGCUAGCUGGGUGCGGUGGCUCAGGACUGUAAUUCCAGCUACAUGAGAGGAUUGCCUGAGGCCAGGAGUUUGAGACCAGCCUGAACAACAUAAUAGACUGGGAGCUCCAUGAGGUCCGAGACAACCUGAAGACGCCCAGCUCAGCAGAGACUGGCUACGGCAAUCACUCAGUAACUAUUUGUUGAAUUGGACAUAAUAGAAGAGCUGAAGAAUUUUAAACAAGUCACCAUCAGUGCAGUGGAUUCCUCAAAGCAAACCUGGAAAUCUCGGCAUGAGUUGGAUUUAAGGCAGUACAUUUUCAGCUCCUGAAAAUUUGAACAGUUUCUCAAGAGAACAACUUGAAACAGAAAGGCAAGGAUGUAGAUGUGGUUGUAGAAGAUGAUGUCUGCGGCCACCAAACUGUCCACUGUGAAGACAAACCAUGCAUGUUUAGUAGGCAGUGGCUCCUCUUCCCUGUGGGGAGUCCCACUGCUUCCCUGGCCUGGGUGUUCUCUGCCGGUAGAUGUUAUUGACAAAAUAAGCAAAGUCCUCUGAUUCUGAGAAUUAGAGUUAAUGAUAGCUCUAGAUUGCCUCUGCCAUGCUAUUUAAAGUCCUGCUUUAUUGUCUGACAUGAGUUCGGCAUCUAUGAGGACUUGUCCAGUGCAAAGUACAAUCUCCACUGAAAGAUAUCACCAGCACAUCUUGUCACUGUGCUGUAGCAAGCUGGGCAGUACAAUGAUGUUGGCAGGAUCCUGUUUAGGUGGAGGAUGGCCACCUGGGCAUCAAGAAUCUUCUACCCUGAUUCCACAUUGACUCCCCAAAGUGGGCUUCAGACAGCUCUUUACUUACGUCUUCUGAUUAAAGCAGCAGACAGGGUCCCAGCUAGAGAAAAGUUCUGGGAGCAGGAGAGGUGUUGGUGGCUUUAAAACCAGGGGUGAAGAUUGAAUUAGGAGGUUAGGCAGGAGUAGGAUCAAAGACUUAGAAAAUGCUUGUUUCCUCCUAUUAUUCUUAUGAGAGCUGAUACGGGGCUUUCAGUUUUGGGGGAGAGCCUUGGAAGAGAAUGAGGGAAUUUAAUCAACUAGCGGGACCUUUCCAACUUACAUUUCCCAGUGUUUGUUGGAUGAUACGUUUGCCUAAUAAGUUAAAGCUUCCAAAAAUAGAAAGGAAAGCUUGGUGACACUAAGCUCUGGCAUGCUGUCAUCUUCUGGCUAGGGGUCUUGUGCUUCUGUUUUUCUAUUUCUGACCAAAGACAUAAAAUGUGUUGUGACCUCUCAGGUAAUGCUGUGGUAUCAUGUCCAAGCAGUAACUAACCAGAGUGGAGUUUUUACAGGUAAAAAAGUAUUGAAUAGCUCAGCAACAGGGAGGACUUAAUGAUAAAUUGCUUUUUCAGAAAAUGACAAGGGGACAGACACUUGCGGUUCUUCCAUUGAGAGCCUUAAGGAAGUUAAGCGAAGCCUCUGCUCACCCCUUCAAGUAACGAUGACCCAUCAGAUCGUGGUCAUAACCAGUAGCAUCUGAGGCACCCCUAAGCUCUCUGGGCCCCAGAUUCCUUGUUAAGUUAAAUGAGGUGACUUCCCAGUUUACCAUUCUAGGGGUUCCUGAGGAGUUAAAAAUGAAGGAGAAAAUGCAACAUGUACCAAGUGAGCAAGAGCUCAAGGCUUAUCUCUGGCACGAAAGUGACCGCUGUCCGUUAGAGAUGUGAUUGCCCUAGAUUUCCUUUAGGAAAUGCAAACAUUGAACUCUGGCCUUCAGGACCCAAGUCCCGGCUUGCAUCUAUUCUAUACACUUUCUGUUAUUUGUUAGGGCUCACAAGGAACAGUUAUUUAUCUUUUAUUUUCUAUUUUUUUUUUAGAGAUGGAGUCUCACUCUGUCUCCCAGGCUGGAGUGCAGUGGUGCCAUCUCAGCUCACUGCAACCUCCACCUCCCGGGUUCAAGCAAUUCUCCUGUCUCAGCCUCCUGAGUAGCUGGGACUACAGGCGUGUGCCAUCAUGCCCGGCUAAUUUUUAGUAUUUUUAGUAGAGGCAGGGUUUCACCAUAUUGGCCAGGCUGGUCUUGAACUCCUGAUCUCAAGUGAUCUACCCUCCUUGGCCUCCCAAACUGCUGGAAUUACAGAUGUGAGCGACCACACCUGGCCCAUUUGUUUUCUUUCAAACCCUUCUGUAAGACCAGUGCUUUAGGUGAACACGUGGACAGAACAAGAUCAUCACUAUUUUGCAAUAUGAAGACCAACUGCGCUGUGACCAGAAAAACAGAGGCAAAAUGUUGAGCUUAAUGAUACCUUUUUAUAAUUUGUAUUUGGUGUUUCUCAAUUUUCCAUUGGAUAGUUUGAGAGAUAAGUACAAGUCAAUGACAUGUUCUCUUUCGUACCCUAUUGUCUAAUCCUGCUAACACACACACACACACACACACACACACUGAUUACCUAAUUUAUCUGUUCCCCGAUUAUUACACUCUCAAUUGCUGCAGAGUCUCAGAAGCAGCAUGGUGUAACAGAAAGAAUAUGAGGCUUAGAAUCCAAAAGCCAGAGUGUGAAUUCCAGCUCCACUGACUUGCUGCGUGACUUGAAGCAAGUCAUUACGUGUCUCUGUUUACUCAUUUUAUGACUUUCCUAUUGCCUCUGUAAUAUAGCACCACAAACGUGUGGACUUAAAACAACAUGCAUUUAUUCUCUUAGCGUUCUGGAGGUCAGGAGUCUGACAUCAAUUUCGUUGGGCUAAAAUCAAGAUGUUGGUAGGACCAAGAUCCCCGUGGAGGCUCUGGGAGAACCCAUUUCCUUGCCUUUGCCAGCUUCUAAUGCUGCAUUCCUUGCAUUCCUUGAUUGUUGACCUCUUCCCCCAUCUUCAAAGCCAGCAGAACAGCACCUUGUUUCAUUGCCUUCUUUACUGUCAAAUCUCCCUCUGCCUUCUUCUUAUAAGAACACUUGUGGUUGCAUUUAGAAGCUGUGAUAAUCCAGAAUAAUAUCUUUAUCUCAAGAUCUUUGACUUGGUCUCUUCUGCAAAGUCUCUUUUGCCACAGAGGGAAAUAUUCACAGGUCCCAGGGGUCAGGCUGUGUACGUCUUUGGGGGACUUUAUUCUGCCUACCACACUCAUCUUUUUUUUUUUUUUUUUUGGAUGGAGUCUUGCUCUGUCACCCAGGCUGGAGUGCAGUGGCAUGAUCUCGGCUCACUGCAACUUCUGCCUCCCCAGUUCAAGCAAUUCUCCUGCCUCAACCUCCCAAGUAGCUGGAAUUACAGGCGCCUGCCACCACGCCCGGCUACUUUUUGUACUUUUAGUAGAGAUGGGGUUUCACUAUGUUGGCCUGGCUGGUCUUGAACUCCUGACCUCAGGUGAUUCCCCCACCUUGGCCUCCCAAAGUGCUGAGAUUACAGACGUGAGCCACCAUGCCCGGCCCCACACUCAUCUAUUAAGUAGAGCUAGGAAUUCCUAUCCUAAGGGACACAAAAAUGAAAAAAGAUAAAAUUUGUGAAGAGGCACAUAAUGAAAGCCCAUACAUGUCACUGAGUUCAGAGGAGGGUGGGUCUGACCUCCCAUUGGCUGGUCUCUGCCUGAUGGACAUCGUGAAGAAGAGAGCCAGGACUAGUGUGGCUGGGGGAUGUUCAGGGGCCAGAGUGGCUUCAGGUGCCAGCAGCCCUGGCCGAAGGAUGACUCCAGGAGCAAGGCUCAGAGCCGAGUGGAAGAAGCUUCAUAAACGCAACUGAGCCAAGCAUGAUGGGAUGUGCCUGUGGUUCCAGCUACUCAGGAGGCAGGUGGGAGGAUGGCUUGAGUCAGAAGUUCGAGGCUGCAGUGAGCUAUGAUCACACUACUGUACUCCAGCCUGGGUGACAGAAUGACACCCUGUCUCUAAAAAGAAAAGGCACCUGGAUGCUCAUGACCGAGAUGGGGUGGGGUGGGUGGGGUGGGACAGCCGCACUUUAUAACUUUGCUUUCAGCAUGAUGUGGAUUAGUGUCUCCCAUGUGGGAAAAUUAUGUUUACCACUUAGAGACCUGAUAGUGCUUGCUUACCCCAUAACGCUGGACGGUGGCAGGCUUAACUCCCCCAUCAAGGGCCUUAAUGUAUUUGGGGCCCUAGUCCUAGCAACAGCAGCAAAUCUCCUUUUUCUUUUCCUCGAGCUGGUUGUUCACCAGGCAGUUGGGAUGUUAAUGGGAAGAGAAGACACACACAAGUCCCUUGUUUUCAAUAAGGCAGUCUGGUCACGUCCUUAGCAGGUUAUUAAUCUUUUUCAAACCCCUCCUCUCCACCAAGUUUUAUGAUCCUGGGAAGGAGAUUCCUACCUAGCAUCCUUAGAGUUAUCGGGGGUUAGGAUCGGUGCAUGCAGUCACUUCCGUGGAAUCAUCAGUAGCCCUCCAGCCUCUGGGGAGAGCUGCCAGUGGUCAGAGAUGUUGGGAAUUACGAGGGAGGAGCUAGGGAGAAGGAACUCACAGUCCCUCAGUCUCUGAAGGUGGCUCCUGGCAGGAGAGGGGGCCAGUCCUAGAUAAGAGCUCUCCCAGGGAAUUCCAAGGGUCCUCCCAAGGUCCAGCCACAAGAUGAGGAAUUACUGUUGGGCUCUUCCUCAGAUGUGCCUGUGAAUUCAUAUCACAGAUGCUUGAUGCAUUUGACAAUUGUUUAAUUGCUUGAGCCCAACUGAUACUCUUUCAGUCACUUUAAGGGAGUGAUUUCAAGUAUGAUCAUUGCCUCAAAUCUGUAUGGCUUUCCUUGCCUUUCAGGUGCUUUAAGAGGGCUUAUGUUCUUUGACUCCCCUAGUAACUCAAAAGGGUGGCUAAGAUGCAACUCUGGAGGUUUCCAAGCUCUCUGCAAAGCCUGCCUUCAGUAGUCUGUGCACCACAAGAAGCAUAACUUUAUUAUCCUCUAGCUGAAUUUACCUCCUGCUUCGAGCCCCUGUUUUCCCAUGUCAUUUUAGGGGUCCAAUGUUUUUCCUGGAGGCAUAUACACACACACACACACACACACACACACACACACACACACACACACACACACAUAUAUACACACACACAUUCCAGGGGCCUCUGAGGUGCCAAGACAUGUGUGGGGUCCAUCUGGUUCACACUGAUGUCCAUGAUCAUUGAGUUCAUUUUUUAUAUCAACUAUGUGACACUUCCUAUAGUUUCCAGUUCCUGGUUAGAAUUUGCAAAGUUGCCGACUAUUUCUUUGAAUAGAGUAGCUAGAUCAUGGGUCUACACCAGUCAUCAAGCAGCGAUUUCCCUGUUGGAAGCUCCAAGCAAAUUGUCAGCUCCAGCAUUCCACACAGCUGUGGGUGCCACACUCCUUUUCCUUUUAAAAGAUGAUGAUCUGCUAGUGGUGAAUGCUCUUGGAGUUUUAUUUGUAGGUUUUUCUUGUUGUCGCAAAUGUCUAUAUUUCAUCUUCCCUCUUGAGGGAUAUUUUCCAUGGGUAGAGGAUCUAGGCUUUUCUUUUGGAUUCCAUUGUGGCUUUAAAAAAAAGUCAGUUGACUGUUUAUUUAUGGCUUCUCUAAAGGUGAUCUCUUUCUUCCUAAGGCUGCUUUAAAAGUUUCCGUUCCCUCCCUCCCUUCCUCCCACCCCAUCCCCCUUCUUCCUUUCCUUCCUCCCUCCCUUCCUCCCUUCUCUUCCUCCCUUUCUCCCUUGUCUUCCUCCUUUUCUCCCAUCCUCCCUUCCUCCCUCUUUCCUUCUUUUUUCCCUUCCUCCCGCCCUCCUUCCUUCUUCCAUCAUUAUAUAUUAAAAUAUUUUCUUUCUUUCUUUUUUUUUUUUGAGAUGGAGUUUCGCUCUUGUUGCCCAGGCUGGAGUGCAACGGUGUGAUCUUGGCUUACUGCAACCUCCACCUCCCUGGUUCAAGCGAUUCACCUGCCUCAGCCUCCCUAGUAGCUGGGAUUACAGGUGCCCGCCACCACACCCAGCUAAUUUUUGUAAUUGUAGUAGAGAUGGGGUUUCACCAUGUGGGCCAGGCUGGUCUUGAACUCCUGAACUCAGGUAAUCCACCCGCCUUGUCCUCCCAAAGUGCUGGAAUUACAGGCAUGAGCCACCACUCCCAGCCUAUUAAAAUAUUUUCUUCUGGGCCUUCCCUCCUUUUACUUCUUUUGAUACCGCCAUCAAAUGCAUGUUAGGUUGACUCACUGUGUACUCUAUUACCCUCUCAUCUGGUUUUUAAUCUUUCUGUCUCCUUAUACUGUAAUCUCAGUGUUUCUUCUGCUUUAAUUUUGGUAUAUGAAUUAUUCAGCUGUGUUCAAAGUGUGGUUAAAGCGACUUAUAUGCUCUUUAAUUUUUAGUUAUUGUACUUUUCACCUCUAGAAGUUCUUCUGUGACACUUCUUAUAGUUUCCAGUUCCUGGUUAGAAUUUGCAAACUUGUUGACUAUUUCUUUGAAAAGAGUAGCUAGAAUUGUUUUAGUCUGUGUAUAGUGAGUUGAAUAUCUGAAACCUCUGUGAGUCUGUUUCUUUUGUCUGCUAGCCCUACUCAUGGCGUCAUGUUUUCCUGGAUGUUUAGUUGGUUGUCUUUGAAUAUGUCCAACUCCAGUUAUUUCUGGGAAUACCCAAAGGCACACCUGUUCACUAUCACCCAGUGAACUGCCAUGUGUUUGUCUCCUGUCAUGGUAACAUUUGCAUUCAGGGAGAGGCCUCUGCUCUCUGCAGAACAGUGUGAAAUCACCUCAUUUUUGCCUUCAAUGAAGGUUGUCUCUUGCUGGUCACCACCACUUCCUCAAAUGACUAAUGCCACUCUUGCUCACAGUGCUAAGGCGCUAAGGAGUUUUCAGAGGGCUAGAGUGAUUCUGCAUCCUCUGGGGUUCUCAGGAAACGAGGCCACAGGGCCAUCUGUGCAUGAGUGACAGUGGGGUGGGGUGGAUGAGCAGUGGCAGUGGUGGGCACCUAUGCUGCUGGCGCCACAGCUUUUUAUAUCUUGGUGAAAACAACGCCUUGCGUUUUCACUUGUAGAUUCUCCGGCUACAUUCCACAAGAACAAAUUCUGGUCACAGAGGCCAGAGUAGACUAUCAGUGUAAUGGCCCUUCCCCUUUGAUGAUAGCAGCUUUUUUCGGGGGAGCAGGGGUGGCCAAACUUCCUAGCCUUAUUUUAUCUUCCUUUCUAGUUCUCCCCAGAGGCUGCUGGGUCCACCUCUCCCUCUGCCAGACAGACAGGCUCAGACAUGCAAGAACGGAAGGGGGUGUGGGGGUUGGUGGGAGGAUUAAGUUGGGGAAAGCCAGUCUUGUCUUUGUAGAUUACCAGAACUGACACACGUACACACACGUACACUCACUCACUCACUCACUCAUCUAUUCAUCUAUUUUUGGCCUAAGUGCCUUUGGACACUUCUUCGGAAAAGCACAUGAACUCUUCGGAGUCUCCUGUUCCACUUGGUAAAUUUCCUAUAGCCACGCACUGAAAGUCCCUGCUGCCCUCCUUCCUCUGAGCUUGUGGGGCCCACAGAUCCCCUGCUCCACUUCCUGCUUCAUUUCAGCUGAUGGUGAGUCCAGGGCAGGCUUGUAGGAAGGGCGGGCUAGGCGUGGGGAACUGCAGCACCCACCCCACCCCCCGCCCCAGUGCUUGUUGCCCCAGCCUCUGUCUCCCUCGCUGUGCCCUUCCCUUAAGCCCCACUCUUGGCCUCCCCAAAGACAGAGUUUGUUCUGUUUUUAUUGAUAGGAUGACACUCCCUCGUUCUAAUACCAUCUGAAUGCCUGAGCAAUUACAUCUUACAACCUCAUGAAAAACACAGCAGCUUGUCACGAUGAAUGAUGUUACCGUGAAUAAUGCAGUUUUGAGUUCAAACUCCUUCUUAUUCCAAGAAUGAGUAAAUAUCCCUAUUCCCUCCCCUCCCCAUUGCAUUUGGGUUUGACAUGACAUGAAUCAUUGUGGUUUUACUCCUGGGUAGAAUUGUUUUUCUGUAUUGCAUUGCCAAUUGAUGGAAGGACAAAAAAAGGAAACUUACCAAUGAGCAGUUUCAGAUGAACUUAAAUUCUCAGAAAUCUUGAAGAAUGAAUGAACUAUAACUUUCUGAAGUUGCAAAAAUGUUCAAGUCGGAAGUGACCCAUGGGAAGCAACCUGGUCCUUAAUUAGGACUGGAAAGAAAACGGAGGCCCAGCGAGGGAACAGUGGCUUCCCCAAGGUCACACUGCAAGUGAGUGGUGGCACUAGUCACCCAGGAGUCCUCCUGACUCCAUGGUAUCCUGACCCCAGACCAGCAGCCUUAUUUGUGGUUAAAGAACGUGGAAAAACAGCUUAUGUUUGAAUUUUAAAAUCAUGCCAGUACUAAAGAUCUGCAUUCCAUGAAUAUUGAGCUUUGCUGUGUGCGGGUUGCUACGAAUUUUGUAACUAUUUUCUCUAAGAGCUCUCAGUAUUUUACAUAUACAAUUCCAUUCUUUAUUGUCCAGGGAAAAAGUUGCAUUUACUGAGCAGUAAGAGGGUGAUUUGAAGUCCCUGGGGUCCCCCACCCUUGUCUUUCUAUGUGAGAUUGUAUUGCAGGGCUCACAUUUAUUCUCUCAGCAGCUCAUUGCACAGACAGUGUAUUUAUUGAGCACCUACUGUGUGCCAGGAGCUAUGUGGUAAGCUAAGCAGACAAAAACUCCUGCUCUCACAAGAAGAAAGAAUAAACAAGCAGACAAUUGCACCUAUAAUGUCAGCCUGGUGUGAUGGCUCACUCCUGGAAUCCUAGCACUUUGGGAGGUGACGAUGGGAGGAUUGCUUUAACUCGGGAGUUCAAGAUAAGCCUGGGCAACCAAGACCCUGUCUCUACAAAAAAAUCAAAAAAUUAGCUGGGGGUGAUGGCAUGAGUCUCUGGUCCCUCGGGACCAGAGGCCUCGGGAGGCUGAGGCGGGUUUAUCACUUGAGCCUGGGAGGUUGAGGCUGCAGUGAGCUGUGAUCACACCACUGCACUCCAGCCUGGGCCACAGAGCGAGACCCUGUCUCUAAAUAAACAAACAACCUAAUGUCAAGUUAGGAAGUGUGGCAAAAAGGAACAAAGUCAGGGUGACUGCCAUUCUAGAAAGGGUGGUGAGGGAAGGUCUCCUUGAGCAGAUCCUGUGGGAGUGGAAGGGUAAGUCACGAGACUCUCUGGAGGAAGAAGAUUCCAGGUGGAAAUGCCUUAGUGGGUGUUAAACGCUUUAACGGGUGUUAGCCAGAAAGCCAGAAUGGCUGGAGCUGAGGGAGUAGAGGAGGCGGCAUAGAAAAUGAGGUCAGAGAUGGAGGCAGGGCCGGAUCACAGAGGGGCACAGAGAACGAGGAGGGAAUUGGAUUUUUGGAAAAGAUUGUGGCAAAAUACAAAAUAUAAAAUACAAAAAUAAAAUAUAAACCAUAAAAUGUACUACCUUUACCAUUUUAAGUAUGCAGUUCAGUAGUGUUAAAUACAUUUACAUCAUUGUUCAACCCGUCUCCAGAACUCUCUGCAUCUUGCAAAAUUAAAACUCUAUGCCAUUUCAACAGUUCGCAUUUCCUCUUCCCUCUCGUUCAUGGCAACCGCCAUUUUUCUUUCUGUCUCUGUAAAUGUUAGUACUUGGGGUAUCUCAUCUAAGUGGAAUCACACAGUGUGUGUCCUUUUGUGACAGACUUAUUUCACUUUGCAUAAUGUCCUUAAUAUUCAUCCAUGUUGUAGCAUGUGUCAGAUUUUCCUUCCUUCUUAACAUUGUGUAAUAUUCCAUUGUACGCAUAGACUACAUUUAGCUUAUCUGUUCACCUGUGGAUGGACACUUGGGUUGCUAUAGUGAAUAAUAUUGCUGUAAAUAUGGGUAUACGAUUAUCUCUUUGUGACCCUGCUUUUAAUUGUUUUGGAUAUAUACCCAGAAAUGGAAUUACUGAAUCAUGUGGAGAUUCUGUUUUUGAUUUAUUUAUUUAUUUUUAAUUUUUGAGAUGGAGUCUCGUUCUGUCACCCAGGCUGGAGUGCAGUGACACGAUCUCUGCUCACUGCAACCUCUGCCUCCUUGCACCAUUAAUUCUGAAAAUGCAGGCCUGGAUCCAACCGCCUUUGGGGACGGGUACCUGCCCACAGGAAGAGGUUGAGGAGACAAUAAUGUCACGAGAAUCAUCAUCUUUGACUGGGAAAUGGUGUGCAGAGUUUCUGGUGCCUUCUGAAGUGAUUGUCGCAUCUCAGCCUCCCUAGUAGCUGGGAUUACAGGCAUUUGCCACCAAGCCCGGCUAAUUUUUGUAUUUUUAGUAGAGACGGGGUUUCAUCAUGUUGGCCAGGCUGGUCUCAAACUCCUGACCUCAGGUGAUCCACCUGCCUCAGCCUCCCAAAGUGCUGGGAUUAUAGGUGUGAGCCAUGCACCUGGCCUGAUUGGUUAUUUAAAUUCUGAGAUGGGGUAUACUAAUGUUUGAAAACCACAGGGAUGGGAUAGGUAUAGGUGGGGAGGGAGAGCAAAAGUGGUAUUUAGAAUAUGUUACGUUUGAAAAACCUAAUACACAUUCUACAUCCAAGUGGACAUAGAUGGAGUUAUUUGA
rnacentral:lncRNA from 1 species